rnacentral:rRNA from 1 species
GACGCUGGGCGGCAGGCCUAACACAUGCAAGUCGAACGGUAGCACAGAGGAGCUUGCUCCUUGGGUGACGAGUGGCGGACGGGUGAGUAAUGUCUGGGAAACUGCCCGAUGGAGGGGGAUAACUACUGGAAACGGUAGCUAAUACCGCAUAACGUCGCAAGACCAAAGAGGGGGACCUUCGGGCCUCUUGCCAUCGGAUGUGCCCAGAUGGGAUUAGCUAGUAGGUGGGGUAACGGCUCACCUAGGCGACGAUCCCUAGCUGGUCUGAGAGGAUGACCAGCCACACUGGAACUGAGACACG